ensembl:snRNA U6 U6 spliceosomal RNA
AGUAUUUAGUACAUUAGUAAUUGAUGCUUGGAAUGAUACAGAGACGAUUAGCACGGCCCUUCGCAAGGAUGCCAUGCAAACUUGUGAAGCUUUCCAUAUUUUU